GUGGGGAAUUUUGGACAAUGGGCGCAAGCCUGAUCCAGCAAUGCCGCGUGCAGGAAGAAGGCCUUCGGGUUGUAAACUGCUUUUGUACGGAACGAAACGGUCCGGGUUAAUACCCUGGGCUAAUGACGGUACCGUAAGAAUAAGCACCGGCUAACUACGUGCCAGCAGCCGCGGUAAUACGUAGGGUGCAAGCGUUAAUCGGAAUUACUGGGCGUAAAGCGUGCGCAGGCGGUUUUGUAAGACAGGCGUGAAAUCCCCGGGCUCAACCUGGGAAUUGCGCUUGUGACUGCAAGGCUGGAGUGCGGCAGAGGGGGAUGGAAUUCCGCGUGUAGCAGUGAAAUGCGUAGAUAUGCGGAGGAACACCGAUGGCGAAGGCAAUCCCCUGGACCUGUACUGACGCUCAUGCACGAAAGCGUGGGGAGCAAACAGGAUUAGAAACCCUUGUAGUCC
rnacentral:rRNA from 1 species